GAGCCGCCGCAGUCACCACCAGCCUACCGUCCCGGAGCCGCGAGGGGCCGGCCGCACACCUCCUCCUUUUCGCCGCCGGUCGUCCGCGUCCUCGGACUUGUCCCGGCACUGUUCAAACAUGGUGGAUUACUAUGAAGUUCUAGGCGUGCAGAAGUACGCCUCCCCCGAGGACAUCAAGAAAGCAUACCGGAAACUGGCACUACAGUGGCACCCAGAUAAAAAUCCUGAGAAUAAAGAAGCUGAGCGAAAAUUCAAACAAGUGGCUGAGGCAUAUGAGGUGUUAUCAGAUGCUAAAAACGGGACAUCUAUGACAAAUAUGGCAAAGAAGGAUUAAAUGGUGGUGCAGGAGGUGGACGUCACUUUGACAGUCCAUUUGAGUUUGGGUUCACAUUCCGGAACCCAGAAGAUGUCUUCAGGGAAUUUUUUGGUGGAAGGGAUCCAUUUUCCUUUGACUUCUUUGGUAAUGAAGAUCCAUUUGAAGACAUUUUUGGGAACCGAAGGGGUCCCCGAGGAAGCAGAAGCCGUGGUACAGGCUCUUUUUUCUCCACUUUCAGUGGAUUUCCAUCCUUUGGAGGUGGAUUUUCUUCGUUUGAUACAGGAUUUACUUCAUUUGGAUCCCUAGGUCAUGGGGGCCUCACUUCAUUUUCGUCCACAUCAUUUGGCGGCAGUGGGAUGGAAUUGUUGAGAAUGGUCAAGAAAGAGCAGAAGUUGAAGAAGAUGGACAGUUAAAGUCCUUAACAAUAAAUGGUAAGGAGCAGCUGCUACGCUUGGAUAACAAGUAAUUCAAUGCAUGCAUUUAACAGAAAUGUUAAACUAUAACAAGCACCAUUUGAGGAUUAACAGGAACAUUUUUUUUGAAGAUUUCAGACGAACUCAACUUUCAGUAUAACUGUACCUAAUCUAAAGUAUUUAUAAACAGCUCAUCGGAGCCCCUCUUUGUCAUAGACUUUUGAGUUUAUUGUUGGGACCACACAGUAGGACCAUUUUGUCAUCUUUAAAAUUGUUGUAAUCUCUGUAUGCACUUUGCUUUUUAUUAAAUGUGAUCCAAGGUAAGCCUUGACUCUUGAGUAGUGCUAGGACAAGACUGUACUCUAACACCAGCAUGGAUCUGCUUUCCAUUGUGUUUGAAACGUGAGCCAAGUAGCGUCCGCCUGCUGUGAAGCUAACAUUGCCAGGAUGUGCCCUCCACAGAAACAGUUUCCAUUUUUUUUCAGUAUUUAGUAAUGAAAGAUGUGCAUUAAUGGUAAUACAUUUCUGGUUCAAUACAAAUUUAAGGAUGUUUUCUAGUUGUGCAUGGAUGCUGGCAACUUAGUAAAGUUUUGACAAUUGUUUAAAUGUGUAAUGUUAAGCUUAGGUUUAUAAAAGCUGGUAAACUGGGUCUCUGUCAUUUGCUUUA